CUGCCACUGCACUUAGUCCUGCGACUCCCCUAAGGACGGGCCGAGGAAUGGCGGGCUAGCCACUUCCCAGUCCUGUCCCUACGGGGCAGAAAAAGGCUCGGCAUCCCGGGAUCCGGAGGGUCACUUCCCUCGCUGCAUCCCCAUUGUGCAACUGCCAGUCUAAAAAUUGAUAUAGGUUAAUCUCCUGGAGAAACUAGAGGCAGCCAGGGAGGAUGCUGUUGAACCAGUUAGGAGGCUGUUGCAAGAGAUCCCAGGAAAAGAUAAUGAUAAUGUGGACUUGGAAGAUGGCAGAGGAGUUGCAGAAAAGUAUCCAGAUUUUAAAGAUGUCCAGCUCCAACCUGGUUUCAUAGGCAGUGGUAAUACUGGAACAACCUCUUCUCCAAGAUUCUCAGGCAAUCAAAGGCCCUGAGAAGAGAAGAUCAGAAUAAAGAUUGGUUUCCUCAUUGAUGUGAAUUUUGUCACAACCACCAUCUUUGGAAUUCAGAUGUUACUAUGGUCAGUUUGGGUUUAAAUAACACUUCUGUUUUCUCUAUGUUACACUCCUAAGGUUGUUAGGAUCCUAUGAGCCUAUUUAAUUGUUUUCUUUAAAUGAUGGCAUAUCUAAAAAUUAUCUUUAUACUUUGAGAAUAUUGUUGGAUUAUCUUAAAAGCCUCCAUUCCUUUGUUAAGUAAUCCAUUUUUGUUUUACUUUGUUUUCUUUUCAGAAGUAUUAAGAUAUUUCUCUUUAGUUUUCUGAAACUUUACCAUUAACUGUCAAGGUAUGAUCUGGAGUCUUUCAGUUUGUGUUUGUAUUUAUUUUAAAUAGCUCAUGGGCCCUUUCACUGGCAGUUUUAUUUCUUUGAUUGAUAAUAAGGUAUUUUAAGGCUGGGCACAGUGGCUCACACCUGUAAUCCCAGCAGUUUGGGAGGCCGAGGCGGGCGGAUCAUGCGGUCAGGAGUUGGUGACCAGCCUGGCCAACAUGGUGAAACCCUGUCUCUACUAAAAAUAUAAAAAUUAGCUGGGCAUGGUGGUGCGUGCCUAUAUUCCCAGCUACUGGGGAGUGGGGCAGAAGAAUGGCUUGAACCCAGGAGGUGGAGGUUGCAGUGAGCCGAGAUUGUGCCACUGCACUCCAGCCUGGGUGACAAGUAAGACUCUGUAUCAAAAAAAAAAAAGUAUUUUAUUCUGUUAUUCUUCGUAUAUUCCCUCUCUUGUCCAUUCCCACCAUUCUCUCCUUCUGGAACUCCUCUGCAAUUUUCAUCAAAUUUGUGGUGAUUCUUGGUUGCGUCCUUAGGUUUACAUUUUUAGUACCUGCUGAUCUGCCUGUCUGUCUGUCUGUGAGUGCUUAUCUGUGUAUUGUGUUCUGCUUCCUGUGGUUACAGAGGCGAGGUAGGACAUACCACCAAGCUAAGGGGGUCAUCAGCUCAUCUUCUGGGCAUGGGAACCCCCACUUUCUUUUGGUGGUAUAUGCCCACUGAGUACUCCCGGCUUGUAAUACACAAGUGUUCUCAUUCACCGGGUAUUGCUUUUGCUGCUUGCUGCAUAGCACAAGUGGAAGGAUGAAGGGAGGAACAGCCUAAUUGUUCCUACUAUUGUAACAUUACAAAAAUCACACUGAAUAUUGAUUCGGGACUGCCUCUUGGUCCCCAUAUCUGCUUUGCCCAAGCUUGGAAAGGAAGAAACCUGGGCAAAUAUGUAUUUGUUUAUAUUAUCAACUUGAUCCAAUACUUCUGUAGAAGUGUUCAAACAUUUUUAACAGAUAUACUACUUUUCAAACAAAAUGUUAUGUAGAGGAUCAAUAUAUUAGGUAAGAGCAAAACUGAUCUGCUUGAAGCAGAGGAGGCAGCCCUGAACAUGAACCGCUGGUCUCCCCUCUGUUCACUGCAGCUCCUGAGACCCUCCAUGGAAUCCUAGAACUCUGCAGGGCAGUUUAAAAACCACUGAUAGGUUCUUAAGAAGUGGUAGUUAUCAUUAUUAUUACUAUGAAAAUGUUGCCCCUCAUCCUUCCCUAGCCCAAGGCCAGCUAUAAGCCCCGAUACCAGCUUCUGCCGUUUGUCCUGCCAGUCCCAUCUUGCAGAGAGAAUGAUAGAAAAGCCUGGGCACAGUGGCUCACGCCUGUAAUCCCAACACUUUGGGAGGCCAAGGCAGGUGGAUCACUUGAGGUCAGGAGUUCAAGACCAGCCUGGCCAACAU
ensembl:lncRNA novel transcript